rnacentral:snRNA from 1 species
GUGCUCGCUUUGGCAGCACAUAUACUAAAAUUGGAACUAUACAGAGAAGAAUAGCAUAGCCCCUGAGCAAGGAUGACAUGCAAAUUCAUGAAGUGCUACACAUUUUU